UUCAAUCAUUCCUUCGAACGC
rnacentral:piRNA from 1 species